GGAGCUACAUGUCAGAUCAACGACCACACAUGUUUGUUCUAACAGGUGAAUUUAGAGAACUACAAGAGUUUUGUGUUAUUUGUCAACGUAAACCAAAUUCACUGGAGGUUUCUGAAAUGCUGUGAAUCACAGUCUUUCCAGUGGAUCAAGUUCAGCAGAAGACGGAUUCAAAACCUUCUGCAAAAUCAUUUAGAUUGUGAAGAGGAAGAUGUGAUACACCAGACCCGCCA